CUAACAAGGAUUCCCCUAGUAACUGCGAGUGAAGCGGGAAAAGCUCAAAUUUAAAAUCUGGCGGUCUUUGGCCGUCCGAGUUGUAGUCUGGAGAAGCGUCUUCCGCGUUGGACCGUGUACAAGUCUCUUGGAACAGAGCGUCAUAGAGGGUGAGAAUCCCGUCUUUGACACGGACUACCAAUGCUUUGUGAUGCGCUCUCAAAGAGUCGCGUUGUUUGGGAAUGCAGCGCAAAAUGGGAGGUGAAUUCCUUCUAAAGCUAAAUAUUGGCGAGAGACCGAUAGCGAACAAGUACCGUGAGGGAAAGAUGAAAAGCACUUUGGAAAGAGAGUUAAACAGUACGUGAAAUUGCUAAAAGGGAAACGCUUGAAGUCAGUCGCGUCGUCCGGAACUCAGCUUUGCUUCGGCUUAGUGCACUUUCCGGUUGACGGGCCAGCAUCGAUUUUGACCGCUGGAAAAGGGCUGGAGGAAUGUGGCACCUUCGGGUGUGUUAUAGCCUUCAGUCGCAUACAGCGGUUGGGAUCGAGGAACGCAGCGCGCCUUAUGGCUGGGGUUCGCCCACAUUCGCGCUUAGGAUGCUGGCAUAAUGGCUUUAAACGAC
rnacentral:rRNA from 1 species